rnacentral:lncRNA from 1 species
CUUUUAUUGUUCUUUGACCAGGUUUUUAUUUUUUUAGAAAACAAUAAAAACUUUUAAUUUCCAGUUUCCCCUUUUACCCUUAAGUCCUAUGGGAAAUAAACGGCUCUCGAAUUUCUCUUUCUCAACAGGCGAAGACAACGAAGCAACAGUAGGAAGAAGAAAAUGAAUGGCGCUUUCAACCUUCAACCUUCAAACCUUCAAUACUUAAGGGGAAAUUUCUGUGCCUAUCUAAUUUAGACGGCAAGCAGAGUGCAUUAUCUGAGGAAAUAUUCAAGGAGCGAGGAAGAUUAAGCAAAAAUUCACAAUUUCUGAAGGUAAAAACAAGAAAUGUGAAAACAUCAUUAGCUACAUUUUGUUUGAAAUAUGUCUUAAUUUGAUAGUUUUGUUUCUUAAGACUGCUAGUUUUAAUCCAAUAUGAGAUUUUUCUUCAAUUUGAAAUAAUAUUCUAAUUAUAGAUUUUUUUUUUUGUUGGGCAAGACAAAGAAUAUGAUCUCUGGGAAGAGUUGGGCUUUUUAGAGGUCUUCUUUAUCUUUGUUGCCCAUAGACUUGAACGGGAUGUUUACUUUGCUAAGUAAUGAUGUCGUUUAUAAAUCAGCUUUCGGGAGAAAGUACAGUAAAACAAAAUCUGGGAAGAAAUUUUUGAGAGUGGUAAGUGAGGGACAAGAGCUGCUGACUAAUCUUAGUAUUGGUGAAUUUAUUCCAUGGCUUUCAUGGAUUAACAGAUUGAAUGGUUUCAAUUAUGGAACAGAGAUAUUGCUUAAAGAAAUGAACUGAUUCAAGAACACUUGGGCGAAACACGGCGUGGAAGUAAAGAGAACAAUCUUGAUAUUUUACUUUUGCUUUUUUCCCUCUUUAUGUUAAUUGCUGAAAAUUAUCUAAUUUUGAGUAUUAUGUUUUCCAUUUUUAGUUAUUGCUACUUUGUAUUAUAGUGUGAUAUAUAUUUUGAAUUGAG